rnacentral:rRNA from 1 species
AUUGAACGCUGGCGGAAUGCUUUACACAUGCAAGUCGAACGGCAGCACGGACUUCGGUCUGGUGGCGAGUGGCGAAAGGGUGAGUAAUAUAUCGGAACGUGCCCAGUCGUGGGGGCUGACGUAGUGAAAAUUACGCUAAUACCGCAUACGAUCUAUGGAUGAAAGAGGGGGAUCGCAAGACCUGGCCCGAUUGGAGCGGCCGAUACCAGAUUAGGUAGUUGGUGAGGUAAAGGCUCACCAAGCCGACGAUCUGUAGCUGGUCUGAGAGGACGACCAGCCACACUGGAAAUGAGACACGGUCCAGACUCCUACGGGAGGCAGCAGUGGGGAAUUUUGGACAAUGGACGCAAGUCUGAUCCAGCCAUUCCGCGUGCAGGACGAAGGCCUUCGGGUUGUAAACUGCUUUGGUACAGAACGAAAAGGCCUCGAUUAAUCCUAGGGGCUCAUGACGGUACUGUAAGAAUAAGCACCGGCUAACUACGUGCCAGCCGCCGCCGUAA